GUUAAAACAAAAUGAUAGCGAUAAGAGCUUAUUUGAUGGUGAUAUUUAUGUACAUGGGUCUCGCAUUUGUGGGGACAGGAUGUGAGAAAAGAGGAGAAAUGAAAUCUCGAGAGCCCUUACCAACGCCACUUCCAUAAACAGGAAAAUCCCACAUGGAAAAUGGCCUCUUAACAGGAGUCAAGAACCGUUUUCCCUUUCAAUUUCAUGGACUUUCUUAAACGUCUGAUUAAUUAAGAAACACUAACUGUCACUAGCACAUUGUCAUUGGCAGGAGAACUUAUAUCGACAGAUGUUAAACAAUUCUACAUUAGAAAGCAUCUUUAGAUAAAAUUCUACUUCAUAUA